rnacentral:sRNA from 1 species
AACUGAACAGUUUUUAAUUGCCUUUUAAAAUAAACUUUAUUAGAAAUAUUUACCUAGAUAUUUUUGUUUUCUUGGGUUAGAUUAGUUUAUUAUGAAAUAUUUACUUUCAUUUGGAAUGGUUAGGAAGUUUAUAAGAUAACAUUCUUCUUGACUGAGCAUCCAUGGCUCUAUUUGUUUACUUGCUCAGGCUUAGUGAACAUUUGAAGAAAAAAUUAAUCCAAAACAAAGAUUCUUAAAUUUUUAACUUUGAAUAUUAAUAGAGUAAGUUAUGCUAUUUUUUCUUUUCUUCUUAAUUUUUUUUUAAAGAAACUGGUAAAUACUUGAAUAAAGUUGUAUGAAUGAAUUCAAAUUUCUUAAAUUCCCUGCUGGCUAUGCUAGAAUUGCUACUCAGAAAGCUGUUUACUUUUUUUUUUUUUUUGAAAGUUGUUUUCUUUUAAACACAUUCACUUUUCUUAUGCUUAAAUAUGGCAUUUCUCUUCAUAGAAGUAUUUUUGAAUUUCUUUGUCCAUAUUGAAAAUCAAAUUUGAAGUUCAUUUCACAUACAUUAAAUUACCCACAUGUAUUCAUCUAUAAAUUGACUCAGUGCUGAGAAAUGUAUCUUUUAGUUUCUAGGUAAAGUUAAAAUUGAAAGAUAACUGGAUGCCAGUUUUCUGGUUUAAAUUAGAAAGCAGUGGGAGUUUCUGCUUUAUCCUGGAGUAGGGACACAUCUCGUUUAAACAGUAUCUCAUUCCAUCCUCUUUAUUGGAUUUUCUUUUUGUAUGUUUUAAUACAUUUUUGAUAGCGUAUUUAGGAUUUUUAUGAGAGUAUACUUAAAAUUAUAAUAUUCCCAUACUGAGGUUGGAACUUACUAGGUAUUGAAUGUUUUUUAAAAAAUUGUAUUUUAAAGCAUCUUGCAGUUAAAUAUAUGUUAUUAUGAGAAGUGGGGUGAUUUUGUUUCUGUCUUUUAGAAAGGAAUGUAUACUUUUGAGAAAUAUAACUUUUGAACUUAAAAGCUGUGUGAAACUUACCAGAGAAUCUUUAUUAGGAACUGUCACAUCCAUUUUGCCAGUAUUUCAGACUAACGUUUAAAGUAAACUGGGAAGGGAAGUAGGCAAGGAAGAUAAAUUGUAUUUUACUCAAAGGGUGGGGUUUUACAGCUUUUCUCAUUGAGUUGAAAUUUCUAUUAGGAGAAGGGGUUUUGCUAGCAUUUAUUCUUUUGCUAGUUCCUCACAGCUCUGUACAUGCAGGUAAGUUCACGCUGUUUGUAAAGCUUUUAACUGGCAGUAGUGAAUAGUUGGGAUAUGAGGAGAAUUACAUUUGAGACAAGUUCAGAAUAUGCACUACAUAAGAAUAAGCAUUUUAAUUGUGCCAAGACCUUUGGUUUGAAAAUCAAGAAGGAGUUAUCGUUGUCCAGCAACCUGUGAGUCUUGUACAUUGGUUAGUGUAGAAGUUAAUCCCAGUGCCUCUAGAGCACCUUUCUGAAGAGUUUUCUUUUUCUUCCUUUUAACAUAAUGGACAAUCAACGAAGUAUGUAAGAACUUUUACUGUUUGCUAGCCUCCUUUAAAGGGAAUUCUUUAUUGAGGGCUACAAUAAAUAUGCUUAUUCACCUUGGGCUGCUUUUAAGCUGUAGAUUUAAUAUUAUAAACGAUCUUUAAGGUGGGUAAUUUCUCAGUUCAUUGGGUAUGCAUCAAGAGUUUUAACUAAAUUUUCUAUUUUCCUUAAAUUCUAGAAAGUGAAAUUAUUAUUGACGAUGGACAAUUUGGAAUCCACAAUGGUGUUGAAACUCUGGAUUCUGGAUGGCUGACAUGUCAGACUGAAAUAAGAUUACGUUUGCAUUAUUCUGAAAAACCUCCUGUGUCAAUAACCAAGAAAAAAUUAAAAAAAUCUAGAUUUAGGGUGAAGCUGACACUAGAAGGCCUGGAGGAAGAUGACGAUGAUAGGGUAUCUCCCACUGUACUCCACAAAAUGUCCAAUAGCUUGGAGAUAUCCUUAAUAAGCGACAAUGAGUUCAAGUGCAGGCAUUCACAGCCGGAGUGUGGUUAUGGCUUGCAGCCUGAUCGUUGGACAGAGUACAGCAUACAGACGAUGGAGCCAGAUAACCUGGAACUAAUCUUUGAUUUUUUUGAAGAAGAUCUCAGUGAGCACGUAGUUCAGGGUGAUGCCCUUCCUGGACACGUGGGUACAGCUUGUCUCUUAUCAUCCACCAUUGCUGAGAGUGGAAAGAGUGCUGGAAUUCUUACUCUUCCCAUCAUGAGCAGAAAUUCCAGGAAAACAAUAGGCAAAGUGAGAGUUGACUAUAUAAUUAUUAAGCCCUUACCAGGAUACAGUUGUGGCAUGAAAUCUUCAUUUUCCAAGUAUUGGAAGCCAAGAAUACCAUUGGAUGUUGGCCAUCGAGGUGCAGGAAACUCUACAACAACUGCCCAGCUGGCUAAAGUUCAAGAAAAUACUAUUGCUUCUUUAAGAAAUGCUGCUAGUCAUGGUGCAGCCUUUGUAGAAUUUGAUGUACACCUUUCAAAGGACUUUGUGCCUGUGGUAUAUCAUGAUCUUACCUGUUGUUUGACUAUGAAAAAGAAAUUUGAUGCUGAUCCAGUUGAAUUAUUUGAAAUUCCAGUAAAAGAAUUAACAUUUGACCAACUCCAGUUGUUAAAGCUCACUCAUGUGACUGCACUGAAAUCUAAGGAUCGGAAAGAAUCUGUGGUCCAGGAGGAAAAUUCCUUUUCAGAAAAUCAGCCAUUUCCUUCUCUUAAGAUGGUUUUAGAGUCUUUGCCAGAAGAUGUAGGGUUUAACAUUGAAAUAAAAUGGAUCUGCCAACAAAGGGAUGGAAUGUGGGAUGGUAACUUAUCAACAUAUUUUGACAUGAAUCUGUUUUUGGAUAUAAUUUUAAAAACUGUUUUAGAAAAUUCUGGGAAGAGGAGAAUAGUGUUUUCUUCAUUUGAUGCAGAUAUUUGCACAAUGGUUCGGCAAAAGCAGAACAAAUAUCCCAUACUAUUUUUAACUCAAGGAAAAUCUGAGAUUUAUCCCGAACUCAUGGACCUCAGAUCUCGGACAACCCCCAUUGCAAUGAGCUUUGCACAGUUUGAAAAUCUACUGGGGAUAAAUGUACAUACUGAAGACUUGCUCAGAAACCCAUCCUAUAUUCAAGAGGCAAAAGCUAAGGGACUAGUCAUAUUCUGCUGGGGUGAUGAUACCAAUGAUCCUGAAAACAGAAGGAAAUUGAAGGAACUUGGAGUUAAUGGUCUAAUUUACGAUAGGAUAUAUGAUUGGAUGCCUGAACAACCAAAUAUAUUCCAAGUGGAGCAAUUGGAACGCCUGAAGCAAGAAUUGCCAGAGCUUAAGAGCUGUUUGUGUCCCACUGUUAGCCGCUUUGUUCCCUCAUCUUUGUGUGGGGAGUCUGAUAUCCAUGUGGAUGCCAACGGCAUUGAUAACGUGGAGAAUGCUUAGUUUUUAUUGCACAGAGGUCAUUUUGGGGGCAUGCACCGCUGUUCUGGGUAUUCAUUUUUCAUCACUGAGCAUCGCUGAUCUAUGCCUUUUGGGCUUCUCAGUUCAAUGAAGCAAUAAUGAAGUAUUUAACUCUUUCACUACAGUUCUUGCAAGUAUGCUAUUUCAAUUACUUGGCCAGGUAUAAUUGCCAGUCAGUCUCUUUAUAGUGAGAAAAUUUAUUGGUUAGUAAUAUAAAUAUUUUAAAUUAAAUAUAUAAAUCUAUAAUGUUAAACAUAUGUUCAUUAAAAGCAUAGCACUUUGAAAUUAACUAUAUAAAUAGCUCAUAUUUACACUUACAGCUUUUCAUUUGAUCAGGUCUGAAAUCUUUAGCACUUAAGGAAAAUGACUAUGCAUAAUUAUACCUGACCAUGAAAAAAAUAAGUACCUCAAAUGCAUGCAUUUGCACUGGUGAUUCCAACUGCACAAAUCUUUGUGCCAUCUUAUAUAUAGGUAUUUUUUACAUGGGUUCACAUGCACACAACACCAUUUUCAUUCAGUAUGAACCUUGAGGCUGCUGCCAUUUUUCCAUUUAACCAAACCAGCCUGAAGGUGAACCUCGAAACUUGUUUCAUAAAUCUUUCAAAAGUUGUUUUACAUCAAUGUUAAAAUUUCAAAAUGCUGCAGGGUAAUUUAAUGUAUAAAAUAUUAGUAAGAAAAAGUAUGUAUUGCAUACUUAGUAGAAUAGAUCACAACAUACAAAUACAAUUCAGUGCAUGCUUUAGGUGUUAAGCAUGAGAUUGUACAUGUUUACUGUUAGGUUCUUGCAUCUGUGGUGCUAGGUGAGUAUGAGAUGUCAAGGACUGGAUGUAUUUUGUUGCCUAAAAAAAAAAGGCUGUUUGUAGGCAUUUUAAAUAUGCUUAUUUUGUGUGUCUCUCACUACCUAUUACACACUGUUGCUUUGUGGGUUUGUUUUGUAUAUGCGUGUGUUGUACAGUAGUUAAGUUUCCAUGCAGAAAAAUAAAUGUCCUGAAUUCUCAUAUUAGUAUUCUUUAUUGUAUAUCAUGCAUGUAAUUUAUUUAGAAAUGUAGGUCUUACUAAAUGUAUAUGCAUGUGUUUCAGAUUAUACUAGGAUUUCUUGGAUUAGAAGCAGAUUGUGUUAACUGUAACUUAAAGAAUGAAUGUUAAAUAAAACGAUGCAGAUUUAUUUUCUUCAUUACAAAAUGAAAUUUCAAGAAGGUGUUACUUUUGUAGAAUGGUUUUAUAAUAUGACAAGAAAUUUUAAUAUAGUGUCUACCCUAAAGGGAUGGCUUAUUUGCAUCUACCUUUUACUGCAUGUUUUUCACGAGGCAGUUUAUUCAUAUAUUGACAUAUUUUGGUAGUAGCUGAGAACCUAAGACUUGAAAUUAUACAUUGUGUAUUAUUUUUUAAGCUAAGCAAUGCAAUUUUGGUCAGAUCUUGUUUGUGUGAAGAUAGGCUGUGAAAUCCUAUGGUAUUGCAUUUGUAACGUUGAUAUUAAUGGAAAAUAGUUUAGGAAAUGGAGUCUUCUGCGAGGGUUCUGUAUACUUUCCCCACAUUGUAUGAGAUUUUCCAACAUUUUGGUGUGAAUUGGGCACUUCUGGAAAACUCCUGAAAAAGAAUUAGUUUCCUUCAUCUGCAGACCUUUGUCCAAUACGGUUACCAUUUCUUUAUAGUAACUCGAUUAGCCAUAUGUGUUUGUUUCUAGUCCUGCUCCUUUGCUCCUCUCCUAUGCCUUCCCAAUGCUGGCUCCAUUUUGAAGACUCGAGGACAGAGGGGAAGCAGAUCAUAAAGAGAAAAAGGAGACAGAAGAAAGGAUGAAGGAAGGAGGUCAUGGGGAGUGUGGCUUCUGAGCAGUUUAGUUGCUGGGGAGAGCAGACAGUCGACUGCCUACAAUACAGACAGAACCUUCCUGCUCACUUUCUGUCCUAUCUCUUCCUGACCUUAUGAACCAGUGUUAGUAGAUGAUUAAAACAUGACAAGCAAUGGCUCCUUAUUUUCACAGGACUAAGUCCGGGCCUUCAUAUCACUAGCUGUUGCCUUUUACACCCCGCUUCAGCCACCCUGUCCCUGUCAUUGGCCCUGGACUUCCUCUCUGUGCCCGUGUGUCCUCUGCCUGGGAGCUCUCUCCUACCAUAGUCACUUUCUCUCUGCCAAACUCAUUUCUUCUUGUGCCCAAGACCUCUCUCCUGAGCCCUUGUGGAAACUUCAGAAAGGAUGAAUCCAUCUUUGUGUUCCAUGGCUCGUACCUUGGUCAGGCUGUGCAUCACAGUAAUUCUAUUCUAGGUAGGCAGAGUUGAUCUUUGUCUCAUCGGCCAGGCUGUGGGCUCUUCAAGGGCAGGGACCUUGUCAUAGUCAUUUUUUUUUUCACAGUGCUUGGAACAUGGUGGAAAAUGAAUGUUGGAAUUAUUGGAGUAAUGUAAUUUGUAUCAAAUGUCCUUUUGAAUUAAGAGAUUUAGUUAUGUUUACUAAGAAUGUAAACUUUGGUUUACAUUUUGACAAUUAGGAUGGUUUAUUGAUGUGAAUUUUGAAAUGUAGACGUAUAAUGUUAAAUUAUUUUAUACUUUAUGGAAAUCAAGUGUAAUGUUUGAAAAAAUGCCGCCAUUAUCCUCUGGUAUUUUCUACUCUCUGGAAUUAUGUACUGUAAAUGAUCGGAUGUAAAUGUGAGGCACACCGCUCACCCCUGUGUGGGAAGUGUGGUGGUACUUCCUGCCACCCACCUCUCUGCCGUUGCUCCUUGUGACACUUGUCUGUCGUCUCUCCUCCAAACUCCAGGCUUACAGCUACCUCAGUACUGCUUUGCUUGUCUGAAACACCUCCUUUGCCUUCCUUCAGUGUCCCGCUCAGGUGCCACCUCCUCCAUAAAGCUCAUCUCAGCUUUUGAUCUGAAUGAUGAUGGAAACAUGCAGACAGCCUCUCAGUCUUACUAUUUAAUGUUGUAGCUGGGAAAAAACCCAGAGAGGUUAACUGAUAUACUGGGUUGGGACUAGGAUGUGGGUUUUGUGACUCUGAAUCCCAUGUUCUCAAACUACGCUGCCUUCCGAAGUCUGGCAUUUGUUAGCUCAUGCUUCCUUGUAGUCCAGCUUCUUAUGUGCCUGUUAUAUUCUCCAGUAAGAUUGUAAGCCCCUUAAGGGCAGGGACGUCUUUGCAACUCUAGCACUGCUAUAGUAUUCUAUCCUUAGUUAUGAACUAGAUAAAUAAAUGGUGGUGGCAACAA